rnacentral:rRNA from 1 species
GCCCAAUCCGCGCGCGCGCUCCGCUCCCAAUCCUAGUCGCGGGGUUGCUGCGCCAGAGCCACACCCGCACCAACCCUAGCCGCCACACCUCUCCUUCCUCCCUCGCUCGACAGCGCCGCACCCAUCCCUCCUUGCUGCUCGUCCGGAUAGCCGCCGGCCGCCGCAUCCCUUCUCCCCCUUCCUCCUCCUUCCUCCUUCCCGCUGGUGCCGACGAGCGCGACCACGCCCUCCUCCGGUCCUUCCUCCCCCCCGCAGCCAGGAGUCGAGCCCUCGUCGCGAGGAAGCCACGGAAGGAGGAGCUCAACCGGGCGUCGCCGGCUGGAGAAGGAGGAGAGCCGCCGCGCCACCACCCUCCUCCGGUCCUUACUCCCCCCCGCAGCCCCAAAAGCUCUGCCGGUUCUUUCGGCGAGAUCCACCGUCUCCUGAGGUCCUUAUCCACCCCAGCUCGCGAGGAAGCCUCGGGAGGAGGCGAGCCCUCGUCGCGAGGAAGCCGCGGAAGGAGGAGCUCAACCGGGCGUCGCCGGCCAGAGAAGGAGGAGAGGCGCGGAUGCCUGCCAGGGAGGCGGAUCGGCUCGUCUCCGCGGCUGGAAAGGGCUCGGUGUUACAAUUACAACAUGGGGCUUCAAGUGUCUAUUACUGUGGAACACCAAUAUCCGUGCAUUUUAGUUACGACCAAGUGCCACACCAAUGAAUGUGAAUGUCUGUUCAAGUAAUAAGUAUCCAUGGCAGCAUGUUGUGCUUUGUCGGCACAUUCUUGCAUGUGUGAGGUCGCAGAUGAAGAAGCACCGAAUGCUCAUUAUAUUCUCCUCUGCUCUGUUCUUCAAUAGACAUAUUUGCUGUUUAGUAUGGAUGCCUCCAUGGUUGCAUAGGCAUCCAUGGUUCUGCAAGGAGGUUAUCUACGCCGUUCUGUUUUCUAUAGAUGUCUAAUUAGCCCUAACAGAUAGACAGAGGUCUCUACUGGCUCAGAAUACUUGACAUGAGGCACGUGUAAAAUUGAUUGUCUCUGGUUACUCUCGUGAUCUGUAUCCAGAGGGCAAGUCAGGUCUUGGAAUGCUGAGGUGAGACUUUCCAUGGCCUUUGUUUUUCUUGUUGGGUGGAUUACACGUUACUUCCUUGGAUGUUUAAAGAUUAUUAUAUCCUUGCUCCCCUUUUUAUCGGCAAGCAUUCUCUCAUCUUCUGGUAAUUUGAGUAAGAUGCAACACACUAAUGCUUUCUUAGUCUGGUUUGUUCUUGCAAAAAAUAAUUGAAGUGUGCAGACAGGCAGCAUGAAAACACUAAAGAGAAGUUUCAUACGUACUAAUAGCUGGAGUGAUUUCAUACCUGUAGUAACCGUCUUAGAAUAAAUAAGUUUCAACUAUUUCUAAAGAUAUUAGACCAUAAGAUUAUUCUUAAGUAAAGAUGUUACAUGCUUCUGUUUCUGCAAUAUGAGUAUAUGAUUUCAUUUUCCUUCUUUCCCAGUUAUAAAUUUAUUGGCAUCAAAGUAGAGCUUCAGGUUUAUGGUUCAGUAUAUCAUUGCAAAGUAGUUUAUGGCUCAGUAUAUCACUGCGGGUUCCUUACACCGUCAAAUUUCAAUGUUUUUGUAUUUUUGUCGAUGGAACCAUGUUCUUUGACUAUAAAGUAGCAGAGAUUUCUUUUCUUAUCAAUUCUAAUCCCUUUUUGAUGCAUUGUUGGUUUGCUAUCAAACUCUCAAAAAAGGAAAAACAACUUUACUCUGGUUUUUUGAGAACCUUCCUGUAGAGGACCUCGACAGAGACAAAUAUGCGGUCAAGGAUAUAUUCGAUGGAUUUUCAUGCCAAACUUGGAGGAUAUUUUUGCAGAUAGUUUGGUACUCUCGUGGUUAUUUUUGUGGUGAUUUUCCUUCUAUUCGUUACUUGGUAACCAUCUACUGCAACUCAGCUAUUGUCCAGAUGCUGACCUUAUGGCCUUCCAUUCUCACUAUGAUUCCCCGAGAUGCGCUAUUAGUAGGAAUCCACUUUCUAAUAAAAAUUUGGCAGUCAACUUGAAAAGAGUCAUUUAUCUAGCUACAACAACCUUCCUUGCUUUUGCAAAUAAUACUUUAUGGUUGACACUAUAGUCUAUACCUGCCAAAUAUUUACACGUUAGUAUAACCAGAAAGUCAGAUGAUCGUUCCAUGUUGGUUAGCCGUGAUAAAUCAAAUUUCUAGAGUAGCAGAUGAUUCGUGUCAGGUUUCUUUUAGAGAUUGAAAUAUGUCUUGACUCUGAAAUAAGUAGUACAAUGUCAAGUUCUGCAUAGGUGAAAGCAUACUGUGCAAAACCGGACAGCCUUCUAAAGCUCUGAAACUACUAUUUGUUUUUGUUUUUUGCGGUUAACUACUACUUGUUGUGUGAUCAGUAACUCUUUUUAUACUCUGUAUAUGCUUUCUACUUACUAGGAAAAAAUGCAUGAGAACGAUGGCCUAGAGGAUGUGAAUUGCACUGAAAUAUAUGCAGGUUUCUUGCCAAACUAACUGCCACUAUUAUAUUUCCUGGCGAACUUUUUAGUCUGUACAGUUGAAUAGUUGGAAGUUGUUUUCUACUAUCUAUAGAGGUUUUAUCCAAACUAUUAGCUGCCUGACUUGCUUUUUCAAAAUACACCGUCCUGAUAGACAUUUCCAUGGGAUGUUAGAAAAAUAUAUGUGAAUUUGCAUACAUUUUCUAAAUUCCUAUCUUUACUUAUCCAUGCUUCCUC